UUGGUACAAAUUUUUUCAUGUCAAUUAAGUCAAAUUGGUUUGUAGAUGUUUUCCUGCAAGUUAAACAUUGAAGAAUAAAUAUGUGACCCACUCAAGAAAUUUUAUAUUAAACUAGGUGUUGUGUUGGGUAUGGGUAUGGAUAAGUCCGUGGAAACAAAAGAUUUGUGUGGGAGAAUUCUACCCAAUGAACGGUAUCUUCCAAAAUCAGAACUCUAAUCCUAAAUAAGAUUCUAAUUUAAGCAAAACAACUACAUACGGUCCAUUGUGAGAGAUAAAUUAGAAAGGUUGAUUCAUAUUAAGUUGGUAUAUUUUUACUCUGAUGGGCAUGAUGAUGAUUCACAUGAAAAACCAAGCAUUUCCAAUCCUUUUAAAGUGAUAAGUGCAGAACUUCAUAUACCUCUUACUCCAGGGAUUUAUACAAAUAUUAAAACAAAAUAACAUACAUAACUGAGACAGUAUUUCUUUGAAUUGACAAAGCUUUAGAAAACGGAAAAACCAUUCCCAAGAAAUGCAAAUACAACUUUAGGCUAUUUUAGUAGUUAAAGUUUAAAGUUGAAGAUAUUAUAAACUUAGUCCAUUACUUGGCAUGCUAACAACAAAUUAUCUCUAUCGCAGUAUCACAGUCACAAGUUUAG